rnacentral:sRNA from 1 species
GCUGGGCGUGGAGGUGCACACCUGUAAUCCCAGCAGCUUAGGAAGCUGAGGCAGGAGGAUUGCAAGUUCAAAGCCAGCCUUGGCAAUGACAAGGCACUAAGCAACUCAGUGAGACCCUGUCUCUA